CCCGACUACAUGAAGCUGGAAUCGCUAGUAAUCGCGGAUCAGAAUGCCGCGGUGAAUACGUUCCCGGGUCUUGUACACACCGCCCGUUACACCAUGGGAGUCGGAAAUGCCCGAAGUCUGUGACCCAACCUGAGAGGGAGGGAGCAGCCGAAGGCAGGUCUGAUGACUGGGGUGAAGUCGUAACAAGGUAUC
rnacentral:rRNA from 1 species